rnacentral:rRNA from 1 species
AUUGAACGCUGGCGGCAGGCCUAACACAUGCAAGUCGAACGGUAACAGGAAGAAGCUUGCUUCUUUGCUGACGAGUGGCGGACGGGUGAGGAAUGUCUGGGAAACUGCCUGAUGGAGGGGGAUAACUACUGGAAACGGUAGCUAAUACCGCAUAACGUCGCAAGACCAAAGAGGGGGACCUUCGGGCCUCUUGCCAUCGGAUGUGCCCAGAUGGGAUUAGCUAGUAGGUGGGGUAACGGCUCACCUAGGCGACGAUCCCUAGCUGGUCUGAGAGGAUGACCAGCCACACUGGAACUGAGACACGGUCCAGACUCCUACGGGAGGCAGCAGUGGGGAAUAUUGCACAAUGGGCGCAAGCCUGAUGCAGCCAUGCCGCGUGUAUGAAGAAGGCCUUUGGGUUGUAAAGUACUUUCAGCGGGGAGGAAGGGAGUAAAGUUAAUACCUUUGCUCAUUGACGUUACCCGCAGAAGAAGCACCGGCUAACUCCGUG